rnacentral:rRNA from 1 species
GGCCAACAUCAGUUUUGGCGGCCGGAUNAAACCAUAGGAACGUAGCUUGCUUCGGUAAGUGUUAUAGCCUNUCNUNCGGCCAGCCGGGACUNAGGACUGCGACUUUUGUCAAGGAUGUUGGCAUAAU